rnacentral:rRNA from 1 species
GAUGAACGCUGGCGGCGUGCCUAAUACAUGCAAGUCGAGCGAACGGACGAGAAGCUUGCUUCUCUGAUGUUAGCGGCGGACGGGUGAGUAACACGUGGAUAACCUACCUAUAAGACUGGGAUAACUUCGGGAAACCGGAGCUAAUACCGGAUAAUAUUUUGAACCGCAUGGUUCAAAAGUGAAAGACGGUCUUGCUGUCACUUAUAGAUGGAUCCGCGCUGCAUUAGCUAGUUGGUAAGGUAACGGCUUACCAAGGCAACGAUGCAUAGCCGACCUGAGAGGGUGGUCGGCCACACCGGAACUGAGAACCGGUCCCGACCUCUCAGGGGGGAAGGCGUAGGGAAUUCUCCGGAAAGGGGGAAAGCCUGACGGAGCAAACCCCGGGGAGUGAUGAAGGGUUUCGGAUCCGAAAACUCCUUUUUUAGGGAAAAACAAAUGUGUAAGUAACUUUGCACCUCUUGACGGUACCUAAUCAAAAAGCCCCGGCUAACUACGUG